UUUGUUUUUAUAACCAAAACUUUUAUUUUUUGCAGCAUUGCGGAAAAAUUGCAUUCCUAGAAUAAAACCAAUUCAGAGGCGUCCUGAACAGUUUUCCUGACAUUAUUUCAACACGAAUGCGAUUGGUUAACAUCUAUGCAAAAGAUGAGCAAUGACCAGAUGACCGAUGUGAAUCGUCGCACCAAUGUUAGUUCCUAUGCAGUAAUAGCUGAAAUGUAGGAUUUUAAACAAAAUCACGUUACACAAAUGAAACCGGCGCUUAAAUCUUUUAUAGUCGAGUUUUUGGCAAGAAACCUGCGAAGUAAUAAUGUAUGACAUGGUGUAUAAUCGUGAUGAAGGGGCCGAAUCAUAUUGUUUAAAUAGAUACACAAUUUAUGGAGGAUCACACACCACUGAUUUAUAAUUAAAGUUGUUUCAUUUUUAAGAAAAACUCAGUAUCUCGAUAUAUUUUAUACAAGUAAUAAGUUUUGAUUUAUUCCGUCA